GACGAACGCUGGCGGCGCGCUUAACACAUGCAAGUCGAACGGAAAGGCCUGCUUUCCCUUGUGGAUUGCGGGUACUCGAGUGGCGAACGGGUGAGUAACACGUGAGUGAUCUGCCCCCAACUUGGGUAUAAGCCUGGGAAACUGGGUCUAAUUCCCGAUAGGACUGCAGGGUGGUGCCUGUGGUGGAAAACGAUUUUCUAGUGGUUGGGGAUGAGCUCGCGGCCUAUCAGCUUGUUGGUGGGGUAAUGGCCUACCAAGGCGGCGACGGGUAGCCGGCCUGGGAGGGUGGACGGCCACAUUGGGACUGAGAUACGGCCCAGACUCCUACGGGAGGCAGCAGUGGGGAAUAUUGCACAAUGGGCGGAAGCCUGAUGCAGCGACGCCGCGUGGGGGAUGACGGCCUUCGGGUUGUAAACUCCUUUCGACCGCGAGGAAGCCACCUGGUUGGAAGGGUGGUGACGGUAGUGGUAGAAGAAACACCGGCUAACUACGU
rnacentral:rRNA from 1 species